CUAUUAUUGUCCUUCAGUCCAUUUUUACUGCAAUAUCUCCUUCUAUAUUUUGAGGACCUUUUGACAAAACCUCUCCUUUUAAAAAAAAAUCAAGUAUAAUAGUAUAAUCUAAGGAAUACAAGACUAUAUGGAAGGUUUUGGAGCCCUUACAUACUACGGGCUAAUAUUUCCAUUAGUCUUGUUUAUUUUUGAUUUGUGAAGGAGGAAGUGUUUAGUGAUAACUUAUAAGUUCCCUAUUUGUGUUAAUUAAUUGAAUUAGUUACAACAGAGAGGGGUAACUGUUAAUUAUACGGUUCCAAUAAUUAACUAGAGUUAAUGAGGCUAUCCAUUUUCCUCCUCAUAUUAAAGUUAUGCCUGAUGAAUUAUAGGAGUACUUCCAAGCUCCCAAUAAUCAUUACUCAAUACUUACAGAUAAUAUGUUAAGCUGUUGCUGCCUUGGCUGUAGAAGUGGCUAUCUUGAGCUAAAAAGUAGACAAAAUGGACCUAAUUCUUGUAUCCCCAAGCUUAAGGUUUCUUUCCACUCAUUUGCUAAGAAUGACGACCUCAGGGAGAAGGGGAUUAGGGCGAUACAUAGGGAAGGUUUUGUUCCUAGUGUUUGUAGUCGUCAUUUCCAUGAGUCUUGCUUUCAGUUGGAGAGGAAUGACAAGAAUGUUACUCGAUUAAAAAAACAAUACAUCUAAAGGAAUGAGACUAGCUAAAUUAAAUCCAUAUGCAGUACCGACGAUAUUUCCUGGUGUUCCAGCUUAAUUAUCAGGUUUACCUCCUCGUCCGAGAUACGCAGCAGUAACUACUGUAUAAAAGAGAGUUAAGCAAGAAAACCAAAGGGUGCAGCAAAAUAUUACUUCAUUCAUAAAAAAGAUCAAAUAACUACAUUUGAUGAUAUAA
rnacentral:lncRNA from 1 species